rnacentral:rRNA from 1 species
AUUGGACGCUGGCGGCAGGCCUAACACAUGCAAGUCGAGCGGCAGCGGAAAGUAGCUUGCCACUUUGCCGGCGAGCGGCGGACGGGUGAGUAAUGUCUGGGAAACUGCCUGAUGGAGGGGGAUAACUACUGGAAACGGUAGCUAAUACCGCAUAACGUCGCAAGACCAAAGAGGGGGACCUUCGGGCCUCUUGCCAUCAGAUGUGCCCAGAUGGGAUUAACUAGUAGGUGGGGUAACGGCUCACCUAGGCGACGAUCCCUAGCUGGUCUGAGAGGAUGACCAGCCACACUGGAACUGAGACACGGUCCAGACUCCUACGGGAGGCAGCAGUGGGGAAUAUUGCACAAUGGGCGCAAGCCUGAUGCAGCCAUGCCGCGUGUAUGAAGAAGGCCUUCGGGUUGUAAAGUACUUUCAGCGGGGAGGAAGGUGUUGAGGUUAAUAACCUCAGCAAUUGACGUUACCCGCAGAAGAAGCACCGGCUAACUCCGUGCCAGCCGCCGCCGUAA